GAUGAAGAACGUAGUGAAAUGCGAUAAGUAAUGUGAAUUGCAGAAUUCAGUGAAUCAUCGAAUCUUUGAACGCACCUUGCGCCCUUUGGCUAUUCCGAAGGGCAUGCCUGUUUGAGUAUCAUGAACACCUCAACUCUCAUGGCUUGCCUUGAUGAGCUUGGACUUUGGGGGUCUUGCUGGCCUGUGGUUGGCUCCUCUCAAAUGAAUCAGCUUAUCAGUGUUUGGUGGCAUCACAGGUGUGAUAACUAUCUACGCUUGUGGUUUUCCACCAGGUUAACCUUCAGUGAUGGAGGUUCGCUGGAGCUCAUAAAUGUCUCUUCUCAGUGAGGACAGCUCUUUGAACGUUUGAUCUCAAAUCAGGUAGGACUACCCGCUGAACUUAAGCAUAUCAAUAAGCGGAGGA
rnacentral:misc_RNA from 1 species